GCAUCUGUGCAUGCAGCAUAUCAAUAAGCGGAGGAAAAGAAACUAGACAAGGAUUCCCCUAGUAACGGCGAGUGAAGCGGGAAGAGCUCAAAUUUGAAAUCUUAAAGGGUUUCCCUUUACGAAUUGUAGUUUAAAGAAGUGUUUUCUGUUGAGGUUUUGGUAAAAGUUCUUUGGAAUAGGACAUCAUAGAGGGUGAGAAUCCCGUAUUUGACCUUUACUUUCAACUUUGUGAUACACUUUCAAAGAGUCGGAUUGUUUGGGAAUGCAGUCCAAAAUGGGUGGUAAAUUCAUCUAAAGCUAAAUAUUGGCGAGAGACCGAUAGCGAACAAGUACCGUGAGGGAAAGAUGAAAAGAACUUUGAAAAGAGAGUUAAACAGUACGUGAAAUUGUCAAAAGGGAAGCGUUUGACACCAGUGUUGUUUUUCUGAAAAUCAAUUAAAGAACUGUUUAUGCUAAGCUGUUUAGACUUUAUCAGCUAACUGUUUAGUUUUGAGCUUUUCUUUAAUGCACUUUUCAGUUAACAAGUCAACAUCAAUUUCUUUUGCUGUAAAAAAGCUUGAGGAAGGUGGCUUGAGAUUCGUCUUAAGUGUUUAUAGCCUCUUGCCUAUGCAGUCGGAGAGAUUGAGGUCUGCAGCGUAGAUCCUUCGGGGCUAAAUGCAUUUGUGCUAAGUUAUAGCAUUUUAUAGACAACUUGUUGACUAUGAUUUGUCUUGUAGCUUACUCGCUUAUGUUAUUUUACCUACGCUUAGGAUGUUGAAUCUGUGCGAGACUAC
rnacentral:rRNA from 1 species